GUUUAUCAAAACUGCACUCUUCUGCUGAGGAGAGUUCUGGUUCGGCACAAAGUAUCUAGCGAAAGGCUACGCGGUGGUCGUAAUUAAUUGCAGUGUCCUUCGGAGCCCAGUGCUUUGGGAUUGCUCACAGGAGAGUUGUUUAGUGGAGGUGAAUUGAGGCGGCAAUGAUUGAACCCGACGAUUUUACAAACUUCGACUUCCGGGACUUAUUCACACUUCACGGUGCCUUGUAAUGAAAGUCGUUGAAGACCGUGACGAAUUUCCUGAGACGAUGAACAGACACUCACUGCUCAUCAACAACUGCAGCGAAUAUGAUGCUUCAGAGACCGACCAUCUGCGGCGGAGCUUCCAGCAUUCAAAGAGCGGCGGUUACAACCGGAAAUUCAAAUUGCUUCCAGCGCUUAAAAUAGUACUAUGUGUUUUAAAAAGUCGAGCGACACUCCGGAGCUUUGGCAAAGCUGCGGCGUGAUUCUAAUUCAUUUAGAGUAAUUCAUUUUCUUUAUUCUUCAAAUUAAUAAAGUUGCUCUAUUCUGCAUGAUGGUUCC